AAGGGAUGAUUAAUAUAUGACAACUCACAUUUUAGAGGUUCUGGAAUUACAGUACCGAACAACAGUUCAUUUCAGAGUCUCUUCAAAAGGACUCUAAUUACUCCGCUCUGUCUGUCUUUCAUCUCUGUGAAUCUUAAAUUGAUCUAAGAGUGGAAAUCGGCAACAAUCUUCUGUGGGAAGAUUUGUCUUGACCAAUAUGUCCUGGCAAUGGUACAGUGUUUCUCAGAAUGACUUGUUAGAAUUGCAGGAUUUAUUGCCCAGCAGGUUAGAGAGGAAUGCCAAGCCUUCCAGCACAAGACUAGACUGGGCAGAGAAACCUGACUUAAUAUAGGUGUCUUGAGCUCUGCUACCUGCACACUCUGCAUUUGAGCUAAUUCACAUUUCAUACUCACCUCCAAAACAUUUAGGCCUUGAAUGGCUUUGGAGAAAAACUAAAGAUAAAGAAUAUGAUGUACACAUUGCAGUAAUGAACCUAUAGGACCUUGUUAGCAUGCAUAGACCAUCUUCUUACAUUCAAUAGGCACUGGGGCACAAUUAAAAGACACAACUGAGAGCUCCCUGUGAACCUCACUGUUAUAUUCCCUGUCUGCUACAGACAGCUCCUCCAACGAAGAACAACAUCAACAGGAAAAGAACUAGCAGGCAAAGUGACAGAAAACAAAUCCUGCACUUGCUACAAAGAAAUGCUCCUGAUUUUCACUUCAGUACCAAGUAUUUGCACUGACUGAAGUAGCCCCCCAGACUUUGGGACCGGACUGGACUGUGGAUUCCCACGGUGCUCAGCAGUCCAGUGGUUCUGAGCUCUCCCAGCGUGGUUGGGGAAGAGACAGGAAGACGGAAGAACCGCCUCCCCCUGGGGAACAUGAGCCAAACAAACUACGCCUGCCGCUUGUGGCCCACUCCUGUCGCUGGCGGGGGGAAGAGCCAUCUUCCAGGGGGUGUGAACAGUCAGCUUUGGGUCCCGCGCAGGCCUCUGGAGCAGCACUCCAGGUUCUUGUCAAUAUUGGGACUCCUGGUCCUUCUCACAUUACUGCACUGUUGACCCAACACGCUGGCACAUCAAAGGUCUAGGGGAGUCGCCACCUUCGUGCUGUCUUUGUGGACUGUUUCAAAGUUAAAUGCUGAUUCGCCAAAAACAAUAAAAAAGUACAGAGGGUAUGAGGUGUAGACUUUUCUCUGUUUCUGAGGCCCAGAUCAUGUUACGCGAGUUUGCAUAUUUCAUCAUUUAUGGCAGUAUAUGGAUGCUGUCUUAAAAAAAUGGACUAGACAGCACGUUCUUCGUGGUUGUCUUCUAAACUUGUUUCUUAGAUGCAGGCGUGUGAUGACAUCAUUUUGUUAAGAGGAACCUGCUACCUUUCCAUCUAUCAGAUGAAGAAAAAAAACUGGUUUUCCGUCUGUAGACAAGGUUGACAUUAUUAAACAUUCAUUUGUUUCUACCUGGCCAACUAUCUGUCUGCCUGCCUGACCAUCUGCCCAUCUAAAGAGGCUAGUUCUUGCAGGCAUUGCAUAGUGAGGGUCGGGAAAAAAUCUUCAAAACAUUUUAAUGCAAUGCAGAGCUACACAGUACAGGCAGCAUAAUGAACCAUAAUGGGAGCUGACACUUCUUGUCAAGGGGGAGCAUGGAAAAUCUUGCAAGGCAAAGCACACUGAGACGCUGUGUACCCACCUGCCUUUACCCUCCGAUGUUUUGAAAUAUGGCCCGUUGAGGCUGAGAGGAGUCUGGAUUCGAGCCCGCUUGGAGUUGUGAAAGGACACUCCACUGCGUACUGUUCUCCCAGGAGCUCGGCCUGCUGCGGUUUGUUUGAACAAGAAA